rnacentral:rRNA from 1 species
UACGUAGGGUGCGAGCGUUGUCCGGAAUUAUUGGGCGUAAAGAGCUCGUAGGCGGUCUGUCGCGUCGAUCGUGAGAACUUGGGGCUUAACCCUGAGCUUGCGGUCGAUACGGGCAUGACUGGAGUUCGGCAGGGGAGACUGGAAUUCCUGGUGUAGCGGUGAAAUGCGCAGAUAUCAGGAGGAACACCGGUGGCGAAGGCGGGUCUCUGGGCCGAUACUGACGCUGAGGAGCGAAAGCGUGGGGAGCGAACAGG